GCCCGGCUGGCACAAUUGGUUAGCGCGUGGGACUUUUAAUCCCAAGGCUCAGGGUUCGAGUCCCUGGUCGGGCG
rfam:Paraphaeosphaeria sporulosa strain AP3s5-JAC2a unplaced genomic scaffold CC84scaffold_6, whole genome shotgun sequence.